CCUACGGGGGGCUGCAGUGGGGAAUAUUGGACAAUGGGGGGAACCCUGAUCCAGCCAUGCCGCGUGUGUGAAGAAGGCCCUCGGGUUGUAAAGCACUUUCAGUGAGGAAGAACGCCUGGUGGUUAAUACCCAUCAGGAAAGACAUCACUCACAGAAGAAGCACCGGCUAACUCCGUGCCAGCAGCCGCGGUAAUACGGAGGGUGCGAGCGUUAAUCGGAAUUACUGGGCGUAAAGCGCGCGUAGGUGGCUUGAUAAGCCGGUGUGGAAAGCCCCGGGCUCAACCUGGGAACGGCAUCCGGAACUGUCAAGCUAGAGUGCAGGAGAGGAAGGUAGAAUUCCCGGUGUAGCGGUGAAAUGCGUAGAGAUCGGGAGGAAUACCAGUGGCGAAGGCGGCCUUCUGGACUGACACUGACACUGAGGUGCGAAAGCGUGGGUAGCAAACAGGAUUAGAUACCCCUGUAGUC
rnacentral:rRNA from 1 species